UACGUAGGGGGCAAGCGUUGUCCGGAAUCAUUGGGCGUAAAGCGCGCGUAGGCGGCCCUGUAAGUCCGUUGUGAAAGUCAAAGGCUCAACCUUUGAAUGCCGAUGGAUACUGUCGAGCUAGAGUCCGGAAGAGGCGGGUGGAAUUCCUGGUGUAGCGGUGGAAUGCGCAGAUAUCAGGAGGAACACCAACGGCGAAGGCAGCCCGCUGGGACGGUACUGACGCUAAGGCGCGAAAGCGUGGGGAGCGAACAGG
rnacentral:rRNA from 1 species